UGUUGAAUAAUAACCAGUUUUUGUGUUAAAAACGUCAAUUUUGAAAAUGAUCAUUCUUUAAUGAAAUUAGGUUGGUAGAAUAGAGCCAUGUAAUAACAUCUAUUACAGAAUAUGUUUUUUGUGUUAAUAAUGAACAUUUUUUGUCUCAAUCAUUUUCUUCCAUGUCCUGUUAUUGUUGAAUAAUAACCAGUUUUUGUAUUAUAAACGUCAAUUUUGAAACUAAUCAUUUUUUAAUGAAAUUAGGUUGGUAGAAUUGAGCCAUGUAAUAAAAUCUAUUACAGAAUAUGUUUUUUAUGUUAAUAAUGAACAUUUUUUGUCUCAAUCAUUUUCUUUCAUGUCCUUUUAUUGUUGAGUAAUAACCAGUUUUUGGGUUAAAAACGGCAAUUUUAAAAAUGAUCGUUUUUUAAUUGAAUUAGGUUGGUAAAACUAAUCGGUGGAAGAAAAUCGAUUACAAAAUAUGCUUUUUAGGAUAAUAAGGAACAUUUUUUGUCCCAAUCAUUUUCUUAUAUCUCAUUAUUGUUGAGUAAUAAAAACGUCAAUUUUGAAAAUGAUCAUUUUUUAAUGAACUUAUUUUGGUAGAAUUGAGCCAUGUAAUAACAUCUAUUAGAGAAUAUGUUUUUUAUGUUAAUAAGGAACCUUUUUAUCCUAAACAUUAUCUCCCACCUUCUUUUAUUCUUCAGUUAUAAUCACUUUUUAUGUCAACUUUAUUUUUCAUUGACUAAUGUCGUUGGCAUAAAUUUGAAAUCCACCAUCCAGAGGCUACAUAUUUUGACCGAUUCUAUCAAAACUCAACUUCUUAUCACUUUUCUCCCAGUCCAUGAUAAGAAGCAUCAUCUGUUAGAUUCUUUAAUUUCAAAUAUUCACGUUUUAGGAGCCAAAAUAAGAUUGUAAAAUUCGAUAAUCGACACUUUACUGUAUAUAUAAAAACAAGGAGACCUUUAUAAAGUUUAUAAAUAAAACAAUGCUAAAACGAAUAAAUAGUAACUAACUUACUUUUUAGCUUGUAAUUUCGAACAGGUACUAUUAUUACUAACUAAAAUUUAAAAUAAAAAGCAAAGAAAAAAUUCUAAUCUAAUUCCAUAAUUUUAGAUUAAAAAAAAAUAGUCUUUUUCGGUAACCAUAUGAGAUGAGGGUAUAUGAUAUAUUGUAAACGGUGUAUUGCAUAUCUACACUCGUAAAUGUGUAGUCCAAAAUGGACACUGUAAUCCUCCAGUUCUUAAUUAUUAUUACAAAUCAUUUAUUUAUUUAAAAUGGUGAAAUUAAAUUUUUUUUGGAAAUAUAUAGGAAAUUGAGUAAAGUUUUAAUCUAAAUUCUACAUGAUUUUCUAUGUUUUUACAAAAAGAAAUGUUGCAAUUUUACAA